rnacentral:rRNA from 1 species
CCGGUAACAAACUCAACGGGGACGGCGGGCUCAGCCCGACGUCCCUAGACGCCGGGGAUCGGUCGGGCUCCUCAGGGCGCUCGGUCCCCCCGGCGCGGAAUGCGCCAAGGAACUUGAACAAGAGUGCGAUGCUCCCGCCGCCCUACACGGUGCGCGCGCGGGAUGCCAUGCAAUCUCAUAUUACUCAUAACGACUCUCGGCAACGGAUAUCUCGGCUCUCGCAUCGAUGAAGAACGUAGCGAACUGCGAUACUUGGUGUGAAUUGCAGAAUCCCGUGAACCAUCGAGUCUUUGAACGCAAGUUGCGCCCGAAACCUUCGGUCGAGGCACGUUUGCCUGGGUGUCACACAUGGCGUUGCCCCCAAUCCCCUCCGCCCUCUCGGGCGAGCGGGACUCGGGCGCGUAGGAUGGCCUCCCGCGACGACCACGUCCCGGUUGGCCCAAAAUCGAGCGUCGAGCGAUCAGCACCACGACAUUCGGUGGUUGGACCCCAAUGAUCAAUGUCGCGCGUGCCGCUC